rnacentral:lncRNA from 10 species
CUGCACUCCAGCCUGGGCGACAGAGAGAGACUCCGUCUCGAAAAAAAAAGAGUACAAGGCAAUAAAAUUCUCUGUGAUGGUCCGGGGUGGACUGUUCACUGCAGGAAGAUCUUUGCAAAUAUCGGGGCGGGGGGUUUUCUACCACAGAUGCAUUUUAAAAUGGGCACCUGUGGGCAAGGCAUUAGCAAUGAAUUGAAAUACAGUGCAUAACUUACUUUUUGUUUUGUUUGCUCUGAAUUUCAUUGCUGCUUAUUAUGGUACCUUUGUGUGAAGGAUAAUUUAGAGGAGGUAGGAGAUACAAGGGAAAGGAAAGGAGAAAGGGGUACCAGAAUCGGGAGGCAAAUGGUUGAGCAGGGCCGUACCUGUUCCUAUUUGUUAUGAGUUGUGCCUCCCACUUGGGGCUAAUUCUCCAUUAACAUUGUGUUUUCUCGAUGGGACUCUCCAGGGUGGCUUAGGAUAGCAGCUCUCUUCGAGUCAGCCCAUGGAUGCUGUUUCAGCUCAGUGGAGGACUUCAGAAGCAAGCUGAAAUGGAAUUGGUGUACCAGUAGGGGGAUGGGAAGAAAGGACACUAGUGAAAGAAAUGUGGACGGGUGUGUCUUCAGGUAUAUUAACAGGUCCAGAGCAUGGAGUCCCCAGCAGAAAAUGCACAGAUGCCAUUGCAAAAGGCAGGAGGCGCAGAAAUGAACGUGAUCCACCAAAAAUAAAAGUGACCUUUGGACUGCCAGAAGAUUCACGUGAAACCUCACAUAAAAUCAGCAUGUGAAGACAGAGAGGAUGUUGGUGAUCACCAGAAUCUGUUCAUUUUUCCUUUGAAGAUACUUAAAGGAAGUAUGUGUAUGUUUACAGAUGCUUUGUAGUUUUAAAUUUAUGCUGGACAUUGCAUAAAAUGGAAAAUAGAGGUUAAAGUAAUAUUUGCUCCCAACAAAGGACCAUCCUACAGGAAGCUGAAGAUGGAGUCUUGCUGUGUUGACCAUGCUGAAGUGCAGUGGCUGUUCACAGGCACGAUCAUAGUGUACAACAGCCUCCAAUUCCUGGGCUCAAGUGAUCUUCCUGC